rnacentral:rRNA from 1 species
UAUAAUUUACUUGAUCUUGACACAAUCCUACUUGGAUAACUGUGGUAAUUCUAGAGCUAAUACAUGCAUUAAAGCUCUGACCUCACGGGAAGAGUGCAUUUAUUAGAACAAAACCAAGCGGCUUCGGCUGUUUCUGGUUGACUCAUAGUAACUGAGCUGAUCGCAUGGUCUUGCACCGGCGACGUGUCUUUCAAGUAUCUGCCGUAUCAACUUUCGAUGGUAGUGUAUCUGACUACCAUGGUGAUCACGCGUAACGGAGAAUAAGGGUUCGGCUCCGGAGAGUUCGCCUGAGAAAUCGCGAACACAUCUAAGGAAGGCAGCAGGCGCGAAAAUUACCCACUCUCAGCACGAGGAGGUAGUGACGAAAAAUAACGAGACCGUUCUCUUAUGAGGCCGGUCAUCGGAAUGGGUACAAUUUAAACCCUUUAACGAGUAUCUAUGAGAGGGCAAGUCUGGUGCCAGCAGCCGCGGUAAUUCCAGCUCUCAAAGUGCAUAGAAUUAUUGCUGCGGUUAAAAAGCUCGUAGUUGGAUCUGUGCCAUAGGACGUGGUCCACCUUCGGGUGCGUACUACGCUCCUAGGCUUUUUGCUGGUUUUCCCGUCGUAGCCUUCACUGGUUGCGGCGGGUGGCUGGCGAGUUUACUUUGAGAAAAUCAGAGUGCUCAAUACAGGCGUAUCGCUUGAAUGAUUGUGCAUGGAAUAAUAGAAAAGGAUUUCGGUCCUCUUUUAUUGGUUUUGUGGACUGAGAUAAUGGUUAACAGGGACAAACG